GAAAGCUUCGCGUUUAUUUUGUAUAGCUACAACAGGAGAGUUUUUCAGAAGCGAUUUACUAAAUCAGCAAAAUGAAUACACCAAUACAACGUAUGACUGCACUACAAGUCUUGCAGUACUGUACUUUCAGGAGUUAUCAGAAGACGAAUCUGGACACGAAAAUGCGCCAGACCAAGACAGUGAUGAAACUUACUCUGAUCACAAUGAGGUUAGUGAUAGUGAAAGUGAUAAAGUUGCAGACAUUUUGAGACAGAGACAAACACAAGCUGUGGAAAGUGCGUGGCAAGUGCACUGCACAUGGACAGAAGUGGCAUGUCUGUGUUGACUGCAAAAACUAGACUUCACAAGAUCAUAUCUGACAUGGUUUAAACACCCUUGCCAAGUGAGUAUGGAAGGAAAUGCAGAGUGAGGACCUUGGACACUUGCUGAUGACACCAGGCACGAGUUUACAGGUUUCAUUUCUUUUGCUUUCUGAAGGAUGACCAGGGUAUCCUCUUAAAAGUCCACAAGACAGUUAAGUACAUUCGAUUUCUUUCAAUCCAGUCUCAAUCAGAAAAGAAAAUCUACUUUUAUAAUUGUAUAAAUAUUUACUGAAACUGGAAAACGUAUCUUAAACAAUACUACAAAGAAUAAAGUGCUUUAUUCUAUCUACAAAGAGAGAUCACUCUUUCAAUGACAGAGCAGUGCAGAACUGAACAUUAAGAAAUCUUUGUGUGCGGCUUUGCACAGCCCUCAGUAGUUGUAGCUGUGGUUGACUCAGGUAUUCAUGUGUCAAACGCCAUUAAAAAACAGAUAAGAAAGCCAUCCCAUCUUUAUAUUUGACAUAAUUACAGUAUCUCAAUAUCUGUGUAGCUAGGCUGUCACUGAGGGACAAUGGACAACAUCUGGUCUCCCUACUCUUUAACUGCUUUGGUAUCCACCAUCUCCCAGUUAACAGGUGCCAUGGUUUCAGCUUACAGGGGUGGAGGCAGGGAGCUGAAGAACAAGACUGUGUGAACCCUGACCUCUCAGAGCAGGAUGGACACAUUUCCAGGCUCAGCUCACCGCUACCACCUCUGCGCUGACUCAGGAGGGCGAAGACAAACACACGCUAUCCUCCGAAGCGUGUGCCAUCAGCCGACCGCUUUUUUUCACACUGCGGACUCACCAUGCAGCCACCCAAGAGAUACAACGUUGGAGGACAACGCAGCUCUCGAGCAGCUUACAGGCAAGCCCGCAGGCGCCCGACCAGAUUACAGGGGUCGCUGGUGCGCGGUGAGCCGAGGACACUCUGGCCAACCAAACCCUCCCUCCCCCGGGCGGCACUUGGCCAAUUGUGCGCCUCCCCCUGAAAGCUCCCAUCCUUGGUCGACAAAGGAAAAGCCUGGACUCAAACCGACGACUUCCAGACGAUAGGGCGCAUCCUGCACUCUAAGCGAGUACUUUUACUGGAUGCGCCACUUGGGAGCCCAAUGCUUGUAUUAUUUGACAUAAAGCCUUUCAAAUCCUUUGGGACUAACCACAGCUACAGGUGGAAAAGAAAAUAAUGUAAUAUUAUUAGAAUGAAACUCUUUUUUUGAUCAGAAUCUGUGAAACAAUAAGCAUCCUAAACGAGGCAGUCAUUGACUUACACACCGUUUAGUGUGUAUAAACAAGACAACGUUUAUUAUAAAGCAAUGCUUCUGCAUAACACCCACCAAAAAUAAACAUUUUUAUCAAUUUAAAAAAGACAUGAUUCUCCAUUGUCACCUGUUUUUUUUGUACAAAACAUGUAUUUUGCUGGUUUUUACCCUACAGUAUCUCGGGUAAUUUGAGAGGUAAUUAAGCUGUUUGGAUCAUUAAAAUGCACACCAGAAGGUUUAGAUUUAUGAGCCACAGUUCUGCAGAUCCACAUGACAUGGGAACAAGCAAGCAAGCCAUUUAUUGAUACCUUCAUGUUAAGUAACAGUCAUGGAAAACAUAAAAAGCAACUCUUUACCAAUUCUCUGAUGCCAUUCUACUUUUACAAAGUCUUUUUUACAUUCACAUUGCUACCUACUGUACUCAAAUGUGUUCCACAUUAAUAUGAGGUUUAGUUAAAAGUAAAUGUCUGUGUUAUUUGACAUGCUGGUAAAGCCUUUCAAAUCCUUUGGGACUAACCACAGCUACAGGUGGAAUAGAAAAUAAUGUAAUACUAAUAGAAUGAAACUUUUUUUGAGAAGAACCUGUGAAAAAAAUAAGCAAGAUGAAUCCACGAUCCAAAACGAGACACUUUUUCUAGUAUAAUGUUCAUUUCAAUGCGCUACAGUAGGAACAAACGCAAACACUAAACAUCUCACAACAUCUUUCAUCUGUAUUCACAGUGCAACACUGGGUGCUGAAAAGAGAUUUCCUGGUCUCAAGGCCAGGUUGGCAGACACGCAGUGAACAGCCAGAGCACAUCUAAAACACAAGCUGUCAGCAGCACAGUAACACCCUUGUCUCUUACCACUUCCUCAUUAACCGUAAUGUUGGAACACAGUAACUCCAUCACCCAUUGUCUCUCCAUUUCGCAUGUAAUACUUCUGUCACAUGAACAAGCCACUCAAUCGCUUGGCUUACCCUUUUAUGCAUUAAUUAACUAAAGAGAUCCUCAUGGGUUCCAAGAAAAGGUGUUUCAAUAAUGGGAGCCACAAUUUGGGACCAGAAAGUCACCUGGGUAUACAGAGCCAGGAAGCACUUCUACUGUUCCCACUGUAUCCCAGCAUGUAGCAUCAAGCUGAUGUUAAUAAAUGUUAAAUAAGCGAGUCGGAACUGAAGCAUUGAGUGCUCAUAAUAUUACUUUAGCUCUGAACAAUGAAGGGCAAGGGGACUGCUGUGCUGCUCAAACCUGGCACUGCAGAAAUGAACAUUAAACACUACUCUCCUACUUACUCAGAAUAACUGAGGUUGAACUACUAUAGUAAGGAAUUUAAGAUGUGUGUCUUCUUUCAAGAGAGUCAGCUGUCAGUCAUGGAGCUAUGGGUGGCAGGAGCCUCAUUACUGUACAGGAAUUAAACUAAAAGCCAUUUACUGUAAAACGUUCUUUUGUAAUCUAUGUGGAUUCUGGUCAUUCACAUUUAAUGAGUCCUUUGGGCUCGCUAAUCAGCUCUUGUACUACUUUGCUCAUAAGGAACUUUUCAGCCUAAUCAACAUUUAGCGAUCCGAGGCCGAUAAACGGAACUACUGUACAAGUAUUUGUAUUUGAAUGGCUCUAUUUAGCAAACUGAAAUACUGGAGCUGUACAAAUAGUACAAAUGUGCUGACAUUUGUUUUCAAAUUUCAGAUUAACUACAACAGGUUGCUAAUACCACGAAAUAUGUGGUAGUCUGUAGGAGGGCUUGGAACCCAGUGCAGUCUGGAAGCUACUGUGCCUCACUUACUAGUACUACACUAUGUAUGUAUUGAUAAGACAGGAAGAACACAUUUCAGUAGGGAUAUGACUGAAGUGGAUGUAAAAUGCAGCUGAGGGAGGCCAUCAGGGCAAGUUUUGACUUGCAAAGCAAGACUUAAAAAAAAAAAAAAAAAAGUCAGAGAAUAAAGUGCUUUGAGUCUUUAAAUGUGUGGUCUGGAUGCAGGUUAACUUGAAGUAAGUAAAUCAUAAAAGCUAACAGAAAAUGUGAACUAGAUAUGAAUUUUCCAGUAUAAACUUGUCUUGCUCGGUUUGACAUGCGUAUGUUGAGAGCUCAGGUUUCCUAUUUUCUCUUUCUCCCAUACAGAUAAAAGGCCUAUAUGCUGUAAAAACAAGUGAGUGACGAAUAGCAAUACAAGUGUUCAAUGUUCUGCAUGUUUUUAAACAGAAACAAAAAUUAACAUGUCUAAAGCUGCCACACAAACAUUAGGCACACACUGUAUAUGAAUAAACGCAUGUGCCGUUGUCUGCGAUUCAAAUGCAACAGAGCAGAACUGGCGCCGAUGACGGCAAGCUGAUUUACCUAUUAGAAAAAUGAGGCUUCUUAGUGCAAUAUAUAUAUAUAUAUUAUUUUUCAAAAUUACAGCAAUAUAGCUUUAAGGUUUUUGCUUUUUCUGCACACUUUUCUUCCCAGUUAUUUGUUUUAUGAGUGUGUGUUUAAGGCAUGAGCAUUUAGAUGUAACAGUCGAUCAUUUCUCUUUGUAAAACAGCAUGGAGUAAAGUUGUUUAGUUUUCCUGUAUGUUCUGUGUGCAAUUAUACUUGCAACUCCACUACAAAAUAAAACUUAAUUGGAAUGGAGAAAUUCCUCCAUAUACAGUAUGUGUGUGUGUGAGAGAGAGAGAGAGAGAGAGAGAAAGAGAGAGGAGAGAGAUAGAUGUCAUCAAAAGUUUGCUUACCCCAAUGUGUGGAAAUAUACAUACGUUGGGGAUUUAAACUGUUGACGGCAACUGUGUUGUCAACACUUUGUGCUUAAGCAUGUGUUUAUUUCUUUAUAAAUAAAACCUGAU